UACGGAGGGUGCGAGCGUUGUUCGGAAUUAUUGGGCGUAAAGCGCGUGUAGGCGGUUUGUUAAGUCUGAUGUGAAAGCCCCGGGCUCAACCUGGGAAGUGCAUUGGAUACUGGCAGACUUGAAUACGGGAGAGGGUAGUGGAAUUCCUGGUGUAGCGGUGAAAUGCGCAGAUAUCAGGAGGAACACCGGUGGCGAAGGCGGGUCUCUGGACCGAUACUGACGCUGAGGCGCGAAAGCCAGGGGAGCAAACGGG
rnacentral:rRNA from 1 species